rnacentral:lncRNA from 1 species
UGUGAUAUUCUUACUAUGCUAGUAUAAUUCACCAUUUUAUUAACUAUUUCAGAUCAAGAGGACCAAUAUUCAAAUCUCGAUCAACAAGAGGGUUGUGAAUAGUUCACUAUCCGGACUCCCUUCAAAAGUUAGUGAAGGUCGUUCUACAAUGCUCAGUUAUUUACUUUUCAUUUAUUUAUUUGAUUUUUAUUUGUUCUUUUAGAAUUGACAUUCUCGUAACCCUAUU